rnacentral:rRNA from 8 species
CAACUUUCAGCAACGGAUCUCUUGGCUCUCGCAUCGAUGAAGAACGCAGCGAAAUGCGAUAAGUAAUGUGAAUUGCAGAAUUCAGUGAAUCAUCGAAUCUUUGAACGCACCUUGCGCUCCUUGGUAUUCCGAGGAGCAUGCCUGUUUGAGUCUCAUGG